rnacentral:rRNA from 1 species
GAUGAACGCUGGCGGCGUGCCUAAUACAUGCAAGUCGAGCGAACAGACGGGGAGCUUGCUCCUCUGACGUUAGCGGCGGACGGGUGAGUAACACGUGGAUAACCUACCUAUAAGACUGGGAUAACUUCGGGAAACCGGAGCUAAUACCGGAUAAUAUAUUGAACCGCAUGGUUCAAUAGUGAAAGACGGUUUUGCUGUCACUUAUAGAUGGAUCCGCGCCGCAUUAGCUAGUUGGUAAGGUAACGGCUUACCAAGGCAACGAUGCGUAGCCGACCUGAGAGGGUGAUCGGCCACACUGGAACUGAGACACGGUCCAGACUCCUACGGGAGGCAGCAGUAGGGAAUCUUCCGCAAUGAGCGAAAGCCUGACGGAGCAACGCCGCGUGAGUGAUGAAGGUCUUCGGAUCGUAAAACUCUGUUAUUAGGGAAGAACAAAUGUGUAAGUAACUAUGCACGUCUUGACGGUACCUAAUCAGAAAGCCACGGCUAACUACGUG